UGAGUCCUUUCUGUCAAUUACUAGAAAGCCAAUUCAUCCAGGCACAGAAAGCAUUCCCUUUUAUUCUGGUAGUUGUUGCCCUAAGCCUCUAGCAAUUCAGCAACCGUGCUGGAAAUGCUGAACCAAUUCAGACUUAAAAUGAGCUUUGUCAGGUCAGUGAGAAUACAGCUAUGCUAUGUUGAAACUAAACUGAGAAAUUUUGUGCUACCUCUGAUUAUCCUGUAGCUUGGGCUAAGUUGUGUUUGUCUAUACCUGCACAACAUCAAAUUUCAAAUUAUUUUAUGAGUGAGUUAGUCUGAACCCGGAUAACUUGAGCCGUAAACCAUUUCAUGACUGAGUUCCUGACCUAGCAUGUUUAAGUCAAGUUAUGAACAAAGUCAUUAACAAGCAGAGCACUGGAAGGUAUCUUUUAAAAUCCCAGGUUGGGGCAAGCAGACCAGUUUGGGAGGUGUUAUUAUGUGUAGUACACUUGUGCCUGAAGGUCUCAGCCACAUCAGGCAUUUCUAGGAUAGGCAUUUUGUGAUGGGGAGGAUGGUUUCUUUGCAGUGUAAUCUGAUGAAUUUGCAAUCUGAGCUAUGGGCAGACCAGCAAGCUACCAGGAGAGGGUACAGCAGGAGAAAGCUGCAGCGUGACCUUCCAUCUGCUCGCCAGUACUUGCCUGCCUACAUAACUUGCAACUCAGUGAAAGAGAGUGCUGCUUAGAAACCUGAGUCUCGCAGUGCUCCAAGCUGGAAACACUCGUAAGAUCUGCUCUGCCUCAGACAGCUUCUACAAUAGGCAAAAGACAAAAGAUGAGGACAGCUGGAGGAAAAAGCCUUUAAUACACAGAGGAUAUAGUUGGUGUUGGAUUAUAUCUGGUGGACAAAAGCAGAACAGGCUGAAACAACAUCCCAGCAAAAUCAGAGCCAGCAACAGCUACAAAGGCAGUUUUAAGAGGUGCACAGUCCUGCUAUACCCUCUUCCCCAUGUCACAUGGUAAUGUCCUCUCAGCAGAUCCACAACUAAGAAUAAGGAGGAUUCAAGGCUUUUCACCACAUGUAGUCAUUCACAUCUGUGGAAAGUGAGGAUAAAGUAGCAUUGUGUUGAUGGAAAUGACCGCACAAAAAAUCAAGUCCUCAGUAUUUUUGGAGAUGCAAAAACUGCCAGUGGUGGGUUCUAAUGCAAGCAGCCCCUGCCUGUAAGAGGAAGAACUGCAAGCAGCUGUAAGUUGUAAACUUAGUAAAUUUAGUAAUUUACUUAAAAGCAACAGCAGUUUUUUGUGCAAGACUGUAACAGUCAGUCUAAUAGUGGGCAAAUGAUAAAACCUAAUCUGGCAUACAGGCUGAGCUGCUAUUUGUCAAUCACUGCCACACAAAGAGGUUCCAUCAGGUCUCAACUGAUUGCCGUGCAGUGCUGUGGGACUUACUGCCGUUCUGCAGCCCUCGUGUCCUGUAGCUUCAGAGAAUAUCUUAAAUGUUUCAGAACCUUAAAAUCCCAAGCAGCUCAGGAGACCUUGCCUAUGCUUGUUUUAUUUAUGUUGCUUGAUGGGCUUCUCAUAGUGAUGAAAUAACAGAUUCAGCUUCACUGUCACCCUUAAGAAGGUCAAGGUGAAAUGUUCUGAUCAGGAAAUAUCCUGAGAGGCUAGCAACUGAGGAAGGGGCCACAAAGUAGCUCUGGGAAAGGAACCCCCAAUCUGUGUAUUUUGGACCAGCAGCGUUUACAGCGAAGCUCAGCAGAGGAGGGAACUCAGAGCUGCAAUCCAGCUCUCUCUCCAUAUCCUGUGGGUAUGAAGAUGGUGCCUACAGCUGAGUAAAGAUUUACUAACAUCCCAGAGGCAGGGGAGCACAUGCAGGAGGGAAGGGAAUUUUUUUCAAUGUAGAGAAAACUAGAGCAGACACAUCAGUUCCAGAGGCUACAUCUGUACUAGUAAACUAAACAGUGACAGGCCUCUGGUUCUGUGACCAGCUGGCACAGUUCAUGACCAUAUUGUUUCAUUGAGCUAGACUCCAAAGCAGGGUCGCCAUGUGCAGGCUGCCUCUUGGGAAUAGCUUCUGCUCCUGCUACACUCCUGAAUCAUGCUAGCAAACAGCCACAGGCAGUCCCCUAUGUGUGCAACAUAAACCACAACAACACUUUCAGCUCCUGCCUGAACAGCUGCCUUGCUGAAGGUACUGGGACUUGUUCUGCUACCACAAAAUAUCUUGUGUGCACAAAGGCUUUAAAUAGGCUCCAGCCAUACAGACUGUGAUCUGGAGAUUCUUUGAGAAGUGGGCAUUUGUUUUCUUCAGAGAGUGCCUACUACUAAAAAUACAGCAGCAAUAGUAUCAGAAGCAAGAAACUGCAGGUUUAAUAAUUGAAAAAACUAUUAAGAUAAUAUACUUCCUGUCAGUUUGUCGAUACGGACUUUACAAUUAGACAACUUUAUUACAGUGAUGCAUAUCCAGAGCACAAGUUAGUAGCUCCAUGCUUAUAAAUCAGUCAGUUUAGUCAAAUAAUCCAUAUUUGCUAUUGAAUAUAUUUGAUGGCAGUAAUUUAGGGAAGAUAAACUGAGCUUUACUGGCAAUCUGUACCUGCUCUGUUUGAAGUUAUCACUGAAGUAGGACAGGUGCCUUUUUUUUCCCUACACAAUUCCCCCAUCUCCCAUGACCCAGUCCCGUGAUACCUCAAACAGCACCAGUGGGUAUAUGCAUGUGAAGAGGCAAGUGCUUGUGAAUGUCCAAAUGCUGCUCUGUGCUCUGCACCUCACAGAUUUGUCCAUUUAGUCUCUGCUUCAAUUCUGCCCUGAGAUUUGAAGUUACAGUUGCUGUCUGUGUAGCCAUAUGUUUGGGCCCAUUCACAUUUUUCUUCUAAUCCUGCAGUCUUCUGUCAUUCCUCUGCUAAAUCAGAACAUGUUUCUGUGAAUCACCAGCAACAGUCCUGUCCUCUGAACCCUGUGGCUGGCACUUACUUGUGUUAUUUGGCUUCCUUGCAAACAUUCAGCUAACAAGGUAGUAUGUUUGCUGUCACCACUGGCUGUGCCACCAAAAUAAACUAACUUAUCAUUAUAUUUCAUGUGGUAACUUGUUAACUCUCUUCAUGUACUUUCAUUAUAAACUCCUUUGGGCAGCAAAUAACUUUUCUGAACUGCACAAUUGGAUUGUACAAGCAGUAAGUAUUUAUAAAUGAAUACGGUUCAUUUUUGAGAACUUACCCUGUGGAACAGCUCAUAAGCUAGCACACUAAAUUUUUUCCUCAGUCCUUUCUUCUGUCUUACUGUUCUUAUGUUGCUGGUUCUGGUUUUGAAUACCUUACAUAUCAUAGCUGGACAUCAGAAAAACAGGGACAAGAAGCAAUGCUUCACCCAGCUCAACAGUGCACUGCAUUGCUGCUUCACAUACAGAGUUAUCACUUGCUUCCCUUUGCUUAAAAUUCAGUCUAAUAGCUACACAUUAAGAGUGUGUGUGCGUGUGCACUAGAAAUUAUAUACUAGCCAAAUGUAGGCUACCUUUACAGAAAUCUUGGAGGGCUGCCAUCUCUAAGGACCUGUGCAAACAAUGAAAGUCAAAGUAACUGCACUGAUACAAAAGAAGCAGCCCUGAUUUGUAGUAGCUGGGGAUCUGGGCCACAUCUGAUAAAAACUAUGUGGCACAUACCUGUAUCCUGGUUGUAGUCAUGCCCAUAAACAGAUCCUGCUCUUUCAUGAGCAGAUAGGGAUGAUUUACACAGGAAACAAGAGAUAGCUGCCAAGGAGGUAUAUUUAUUAAAUGUGGUUGCUUGGAGCCGUGCCACCAAACUUGGUAGCAUAUUGCAUUCCCUCCCCCUGGGCUAGGCAGGGGUUUUCCAGAGUGCGCCUGGCUGCUGCAUCCCCUAGGAUUUGGACCUGUGCGUUUCAUCUCUGAUGCGUUAUGAUUCUAUUUAGAACAUGCUUUAUUUCUACAGCUGCCAGGCUGCAGAGGCAAUGUGCCAGUCUUCAGCAAGAGGGGGAAAGACUAUAAAUAGAGCAGGCUGGGCUACCACAGGCAGCUUUUGGUCUGCUUAAGUUUCUUGUUUAGCUUAGGAGGAGCACAAAUCUAAUCAGGAGGAGUUACAGCACAGCACAGGCACUAGCAACAGCUCUUCUGUCCAGCCUGUAACUAUCUUUUAUUUUUUAGGUAUCCAGAUACAGCCACUCACGUUUCCUUAAGGAGCACAGCAAUACCAUUCAUCUCUGCUUUCCUCCAAUUCUCAUUUUUUUUUUGCAAAUUCUCACUAUGCAAACCCUCACAAAUUUUCAUGAAACUAGCUGCUCAUGAGGGAAACACAUUCUUUCAUUCUCAAAACAAUAGAUAAAAUGACCCCCCAAACUUAAGUGGCCAGAGGUAACAGAAAUUUCAUCUUUUUGAGGCUCAUGAAGCUUUAGGAACAGCCAUUUACUAGUUCUUGCUCUAAUUUGUAUCAUCAUCUAGGCUCACUAGGGGCUAUCCCUGGAGUUCUUUAUACAAAGAAGGAACACUGUUGCUGCAGGCCAAAUAAACAAAAAUAUCAUCAAGAGCCCAGUCCAGUGAGUUACUUGUUUUCCUCAUAGGUAUCUCUACUGAGCUUUUUCUUCCCUCACUCUGUGCUUGAUUCAGAAUAUUUACUAUUAGAGAGAGAAACUAUUUCCACAGAUUUCUGCUGCCUAGCAUAGCUUUCAGUGAGUAUAUUUUAUUUACAGCACAAAGCUAAUGGAGGUCAUCUUUUAGACUCAAAACAGUUGAGUUGGUUCUUUGAACUCCACACCCCUACCUUUUCAGAGAUCUGCAGCCAAGAUUGCAGAUAGUCCCUCCAUUUUCUCACCCUCCAGGACUCACCCCUAAGAAGGACAACACUGAAAAUAACACAUUAUCUCAGUGUUAUGCUAUGCAUGCAAGCAGAUGGGAUUGCUUGUGUCAAAAAAAACUGAAUACCAAAUAUUAUACUUGCAAGCAAACUGUCAAGUCUUAGGGAGACAGCUGGAUCUCAUAAAUCUUUACCUUCUACCAAAUAGUCUACAUCCUUUGAAAGAACACUCACAGGCCUGUGUACCUCUAACAUGCUGCAUAACCCGCCAUUUGUUUGGUGAACCAGAGCAAAACUUGCAUGUGCACCUGUGCCACAGAAGAGGUUAUAGUGCUGCAUAUUUUGAGCAGAAGGCAGGCCUUUGCUCAGGGAUCUCAGUUCUGGGUUCAGCCUUAGUAGCUUUGGUGCAUGCCCACAGCACCAGGGGCCUUUCCCUACAGAGGCCUGGGUACCCCCAUAGCUCCAGCCACGCCGGGACAACUUCUUACUGUCAAGCCCCCAGACCAGGCAUCUCCUUCAUGGCAGCACAGAUCCACACAGGUCAAACCUAAGAGCUGCUUUACUGGAAGUAAACUUUUCUUAUAACUUCAGGUACAUACCUGUUUAUUACCAUCAGUUGCAGUUAUUGUGCCUUCAUCAGUGCUAGCACUUGCAGAACCAAGGAUAAAAGACCAUAAAUUUGAAGGCUAGAGCUGUGUAUCACUGGCCUACUAAAACCCAUGGACUUCAGACACACUGGGUUCAUGGUCUAUUGCAAGUUUUCUCCUGGCCACUCUCCCCUACAUGGUGUUAAUGAUUUUUUUUUCAGUUCCACAAAGUCUAAUAGCCUGCAAGCCUUUUCUGCUCACAGGUGCCUAACUACCUUUUUCCUCAGCAGGUUUAAUCAAUUAACAUACCAAGGAGUUAAAAGGGCAACUGAAUCUCACUUGUAUUUAGCUUGGAUCUUGUCAGAUGAGUGGAAGUUACUUCCAGUUCAAGAAUCCAGUGAGGUGAGAGAUUUGCAGAGACAAACAGUCCAGACCUGACAGCCUGACCUGAAGGAUCUCACUCACAGUCAUAUUGUACGUAUGGGCACUGCACACAGCUCUUGUACAGUCCUUAGAUCGAGCACACUCUGGCACGGAGGAGUGGACUGGGAACAUGAUGAAGUCCUGCUUCAUUCAGAAUUAGCCCUUCAGUAUGAAAGCAUGAUGAAUAGUGGACACAGUGAGGCAGGAAGUUUUGAAUCCUGACACCUCUCUCCCAUAGCUCCGUAUUUUUAAACUGUUUGACUUUUGCCACAGGCAAGAAAAUUGCAUCUCAACUAUCCCUAUGAAACGUAAGGGUAAUAGUGACCUAUUUCACAUGAUGAUAAAAUUAUUUUGGCAUGGAAUUGAGAAGAUGUAAAGAUAAGAAUUAUUAUAGGCUUGGCUUUCAGUAUUUUUCCCAGCCAUAACUGCUACCAUGCAAGAAUUUUAAGAAAUCCAUUUUCUUCCAUUUAUCAGCCUGUUAACUGAGAAUAUAACUGGAUCUCGAUUAUGUUAAGAUAAGUGACAAGGACACAAUUCACCUAUGCUGUCGUCAAUCACAUUAUCUAGGGAUUAAUUCAGGCUUCAACAUCCAGCACUGACACAGAAAUCACUUUUCUACUGUAUUUGUAAACAGUAACUUUAACUAGAUAAUCUGAGCUUGGAAGCAGGACCCACUCAUUGUUUUCAAGAAGAUUCUUUCUUAAAACAAUAUAUGGUUAUUUUGGUUUCUUAUUUCCCCUGCUGUAAAAUGGAGAGCAAUCACUUACUAUUUCCAGAGAUGAAGGCUCCCAGCUCCUCCACUUGUCAUGAAUAUAUCUCUGUUCUGUGGGAGGUGCCGAACCUGCCACAUGGUAGAUUUGUGAGCCUAGUGAAAAACAGCAUUGUAUGGAAGUCAGUUACAAAUUAGCUUCACAAGGAAGGAUGCAGGAUCUUCCAUUGCAAUCACCUGUGUGAACAGAAUCCAGCUUUCUGGUGGUGGACCCUGAACAGCCAUUCUGAGACACCUUCCCUUCCUCCUGCCUCACAGCCUGCUGCCGCAGGAGCAGCCAGCUCCCACCCAGGGGAGCCAGGUCAGGCCUCCAGCACACCCCAUCCUCCACAGGGACAAAGCCGCAGCCCUGCCAAGGCUACCACUGCCUUGACAGUCAACCCAGGCACAUACUUCAGCUUUGUCAGGACUGGCCACGCAAACAAAGUUAGAUAAACGUGAAGUGGCUGCAUAAACACGUACUUUGGAACUGCUCUGUAACUACAGGAUUCCCAGGCUCUUAGGUGAUGCAGUCACCACAACAUUAAUUUCACUGUCUAUCUCUUAAAAUCGUUAUUGCAAUGGAACAUAUUACAAACACUACAGAAACACAACAAAGACAUCAACAAAUCAAAUAUAAAUCAAGCCAGGGCACAGAGCAAAAUCGCAGAGCAACAGAAAUGACAUAAGGAAAAACCCCUACACACUUAUCCUGACUUAAUGCAUAUCUGUCUACAAAUGUCCAAGAGGAAGUGUUUAAGUGCAACAAAUGAAUGCUAAGAAUUUCAUUUUCACAUUUUGAUUAUUAAAAACACUGAUUCAGUAAAUACUUGUGUUAACUACUCAAGAUACUUCCAAUAUCUUAUCUGCUUUGAAUGGUGAUGUGGAAAAUAGGAAUUUAAAGAUACUAGGUUGACACUGAGCUUUCUCUAAUUUAGGCAGUCCUGGAGAAAUUCACCUUUAAAGUUCCUUUUCACUAAUCAUCAGCAAAUCUUUUUCAUGAAAAAAACUGCUGCUUUAUAAAGAACUUGCACUAACCAACAAAGUGGUCAUGGAUGGGAAAAAAAAAGUUACCACAAUUCUCCACACUUAACAUCCUCCAGGUCACUAAGUUUCUCUUAAGUCUUUCACCACUCAUUCCCAAUAUCCCAAUCGAGAACUACUUUGUUCUGAAGAAAAAAAUGAUUUCUAUGAAUCAUAUGAAGUCUAGUCACUGCAGGAAAAAAAGCAGUUGCAGAGGGCUAAUUUUAUUUUGGGACACAGUUAAGAUUCAAAUCUGCAUUCUCAUCACAAUUUGAUAUGGCCUCCAACAAACAUGACUGCCAGGCUAGGGGCACCACAGAGUGCACAGAGGUGCAACAGGACCCAAAGACCAGAGAAGCCCAAAUAGCAGUUUCUAAAAGGAAGGAAGGCUUGCUAAGUGCUGGCGGUGGGAUGCACCCGAGGAGCCCUUUCACUGCUCGCACCAGGGGCCACGCCAGCUGCGCCACCACUCCGUUCUUGCCCCAGUAACCUGGGCAGCUAUCAGGCAUCAUAUACAACAGUUUUAAACUUAUAGUAUUUCCAGAUACUUUAGCAGCACAUAUUGAAAGCUUCUCUCACAGCAAGACAUUCUCUGACUCCUCGUACCUUUUCUGAAACGGAAGCAAAACCUUUGGUUGGAUGCUGAGUUCUCAUAUCAAAAACAUGAAACUUUCCCUCAAGUGAUGUGGCCACGAGCUUGUUCAUAUUUACAUCUUUCCUGUCAAACUCCACACUGCAAACCUGGAAAUACAACAAUAAACACAUUCAACCUUGAAAUUCAGCUACUGAUAAAAAAUACAUUUUUUUUUCAGAUGUGUAAAUAUAUAAUCUAAUCAUUAGUCACUUUUACAAUGACAAUCACCAGCUUGGAAAUAACAAGAUUCCAAAAGAGCAUAUAAAAACAUGAAUCCACCAAAACAGCUUACUGGUAAAAUACCUCAUGCUAUCCAGACUUAAGAACUUCAGAGGUACAAUUUGCUGAACUUGCAAAACUUGCAAAAUUUUUACAGACUUGCAAAAUUGAACUUGCAAAAAACAAUCCCUUGGUACAAUCCCAGAAGAGAAGUCUUGAGUAGAUUAUCCGUAAACAAAGUGUCCUUUUAGUUUUUCCAUACUGCAUAUAAGCUAGAAUGAAAACAUGCUUGUAUGAUACAUUACCCCAUUCUUAAUAUUAGUCUCCCAUCGUAGUGACAUGGUUUUUAAGUCAAACAAUUUAAUGUCCCCAUUGUCAUAUCCAGCACAUACAACACGUUCCUCUUGAUUGUAAGCGUUUCCUGGACACACAGAAAGAACUAAUCAGAGUACAGAAAACCCCUUUUAGACUGUAAGUUUCAGAAAACCUAGAUCUGCAGUUUCAACUUCAAGAAAAACAUUACUAUUGAAAUAUUAAGAUUUAAUGAAUGCAUUUGUUUUCAAACCUGAAAGGUAUAGAAAAUAUAGCUUCAAAACUGGCAGUCUGUUUCUUUAAACAAUGUGAACAAAAUCCUUAUUCCCCCCCUGCCAAGUACUGAUGAAAUUACAAAGACUACUUCAUCUAGAUGCACGCAUCCUCCUGAAAUACUUGGAUUUGUUCGCUGAUAUAAAUUUAUAUGUCUGGCAAACAAUGCAUUACUAUGAGUUCAAGCAAACCGCAGCUACCUUUCAUCUGAACAAACAAACACAAACGCUCUAAUUUGUAACAGCAAAAAAGUUAAUUUUCUAAAAUUAAAAUAACUAAAAACUCUAUUCAUUGGGUAAUAUCAUAUUGGCCUGAACAUGCAAAACCAAAACUGACCCAAAAGCCUGUGGGCUAGGCCAAACUGGCAAUUUCACGUUAGAAUGGGGCAGCGGGAGGGACAGCUGCCUCUCUGCAGAGCGCUACUCCCUAUCACGAAGCUCCGCGGACCUCCUCAUGAGACCAAGCUGCAUGGGCAGAACGUGGCUGUGGUAAAUCACGCUCCUCAGGGAAGACCACAGGAGCGUGGCAGAAAGCGAGUCAGAAUCCUUAACCAGCCUCUCAAGCAUGAGAUGUUCCUGAGAUGAGAGUCUUCUGCAGACAGACUUGUGGGGAGGCCCUGGGAAUUACCAUGGCCAUCACUAGACACACACCAAAGCCAGUCUCCAAAAACUGCCUCUCAGCUCACAGGAUCAAGGAAGCGCAUCGGUGUCUGAAAUAAGUUAGCUCUCAGAUGAAGAGUGCAUAGUUCAGGAUAAACCUCAUCUUGGCUUAAGCGUCAGUAACUCGGAAGAAAAUUAAAGAAAACACAAGGCCACUCUUCUGUCACUCAUCAAAACAGAAGAUGAAGAUGUCAAAAGCAGUAAGCAUUAGAGCUGCACCUUCUUGCCAAGGAACGCCAUCUCCCUACUAUCAAUGUUGUUAUUAUAGUCCAAGCACUUCGACAGUGUGUGAAACUCACGACCUGACUCUGGAGGCAGAAAUGGAGCUAAUCCAGGAAUUCUAGCUUGUGCAGCACACAAACAUCUUGCUCUUGGCAAAGGAAAAAUGCUGGGCACACAUCAAGCAUCUCUGCUCUCUUUAAUUAGCUCCUAGCUUCAAGGAUUUUCUCUUAAUAUUAAUGCCUGAAUGUAUUAAAGAUGGAACUACGCUACAACAGUGAUUUGUUCUCUGUACACUGCAAUGAUUGCACUCCUUCAGGACAACGCAGCUGCAAGUGCUGAUUUUACCUUCCAAGGCACAGAAAUAAAACCUGCACAGCUUAUCAGUGAAAUGAUUGACCAAAGAAGAUAAGAAAAUGAGUCCAAACCCAACUAUCACAAAAUUUGCUUCUUUUGAAAAAACAACACAUUAAAAACACAUAAAUUUGAUAAUGGCGAAAAGCCAAUCUGCUACUGAUACAUCCAUACAAAAUAAGUGUUCCAUAACAUCGUGAAAUACUUUGAUGUUUGUCAAAGCACAGUCGAAUUUAGAGGGAGGAAUGGUUAUAACCAGGUUACAAUUUAGUUACCAAAUGCUACUGUCCAGCAGUCUCUUUUGCUCUCUCCCUGUACGGGUUCCAUAUUAGCAACAGGAAUAUCUUUCUGUCUUGGGUCCCAUACCUUCACAGUUCCUGUAGAAAAAAGACAAUGGAUUUUGUAUUAUGGAUAAACUGUCACAUUGCCUUCAUUUUCCCACUGAAGGCCUUUGCUCUUCGGCCUGCUUUUUCAAAAUGCUGUAGCAUCUCUUUCAACUCCAGAAAGCCAGACUAAGCGGUUGGAAAAAAUAAAACAGAAAUGAAGGAUA